CCGACGGACUUUCCUUUCUCCCAAAAGGCGACUGGCGGAGGACCGCCUCUUCCGCUUUCUUGCUACGCGAGCGAAGUUUAUGUACAGAUUUCCAAAGAACUUUAAAAUGAAGAAAGGCAGAGGCCGAACUUGCCGAAAGAGAUACAGAAAACAAUCUAGAGCUUUUUAUUCAUGGGGUGUAAAUUUAAAUCAUAAAAAUGAAUAUAUACUUCUCAAGAAGUGGUUGAAAGAAAAAGGCUACAAGGAUAAUAACUUAAGGCCAGCACUGU